UUAUGGACACGUGUCUACUCAUCUAGACAACCCUACGUGUCCCGUUACUGGUCCCGAGAGACGAGCGCAUAACCUUCUUUGAAAUACCGUCAUACCCACAUCCAUAUACUUCUACUUACAGUCCUGCGCACAGGAAAAAUGGAAAUGGAGGGGUGAGCAACAAGUUACUCAGUGAAGUGGUUCUAGACCAGCCUGCCCGCAUGACACUCUAUACUACUCCAUGCGGGAACUAGGACUGACUAGCCACUACAAUCAGUUAAUGCAUUUUCAUCAUUUCCUAAUGUUAUCUGCAAUUUCCACAAUCACUUCCUUUCAUUUCUAACAACCUAGCGAUCAAUCAAUACAAUGAUCUCACUCAUUGCCACACGCGUCAAACCCUAGACUUAACCGACUCCUCUUGUCCGUCCGACCCGACCCUAUGACACCUUUAACUCCCCGUUACCCGACCAUGAGCUAAAACCCUACAAUGCACAUCCUUUUCAACUUUUCAUCUUUUCCUCUUUUCCUCUUUUCCUCUUUUCCUCAGUGGGUAGCCCCCCACUAGGCUUCUACCCCAUAUUCAUGUGGAUUCGCCACAUCUCCUAUGGGUGCUUCCAUAUUCAUGUGGAUUCGCCACAUCUCCUAUGGAUACCUAGCUUGGACCACUUACCCCACCUACAAACCUUAGACUCUCUAUAUGCUUUCCCACCCAUGCUUAAUCCUUAACAUCCUUCUUUCAUACUUUUACUUAUCAUUUCACUUCCUUAUCGUUUUCACUUAAUCCUCCCCAUUCCCAAUUACUUUCCCUUUUCAUUCAUACUUGAACUUGGACUAGUCACUAGACGCCACCCGUUAUCGGUGUCACACACAAUACACAUCGCAUUCAAGUUCUACUUCAAUAACGUUUAUAAUCAUUGCUCAUCUAUCAUCCUAGCAUUUGUUCCUCUCUAGCAUCCUAACUUCAAUCACAACAACACAUGGGACAACACAACCAAACAUACAAGUAUCAACUACCAAUCAAUCAUUACCACGACAAUUCAAUUCAGUUCAUCAAGUCCCAUUUAUCAGUAUGAGGGUUCUUAUGCAUCAUGAUUCAUUCAUCUAUCAUCCUAGCAAUACCAUGUCCUAUCAACCUAACUCCCAAUCAGGGUCUAAUCAAGCCUAACUCCAACAUAAAGGAGUAUACAGAACCAUGAAAGAAGGUUGGGUUCGAAACACUCCACCUUAGUCUUAGAUCUGGAUCUGGAUCUGGAAACGAGGAUUUGAGAAGGUUGAGAUCUGGUCAGCACCACCACUUCACGGCGCCGGCGAGAGGGAGAGAGAGAGAGAGCGUGCGACGGCGAGGAGAGAGAGAGGGUGACGGCGAGGAGAGAGAGAGCGACACGCGGGAGAGAGAGAGGAGAGAGAGAGAGACGGCGCAGGAGAGAGAGAGAGAGAGCUCGACGGCUAGGGUUUUCGACCUCCGGGAAUUCUCUGCAGGGCUUCGCUUCAGAUUUGUGAUGAGGCAGAAAGGGAGACUGCAUCUCUUUUUAUAGUAAAGGGAAGGGGAAGCCCUAGGGUUUUGCUAAAUGGGCCGUAGAGAAGCCCAUAUUCUUUGGGAAAUUUUUAUGGGCCAGGAACCGGGCCGUUACAAUCCUCCCCCGUUAAUCGGAAUUCGUCCCCGAAUUCCAAAGCCCACAUCUUUCAGACCAAUCGUUCGUUACCAAAAUGGAUUCACACAUUCACACAACAAUCAAGGGAGGCAUACAUGACACGAUAACUCUACUGGGAUCUUUAAAACCAACGAAGGAAUGUCAUAAAUAAAAAAAAAGAGUAGGACUACAAUAGUUUGUAAAAGAAAACCCAGCACAUCUGCACAAUACAGAAUGCCGUAAAUAAGGGAAGGAACACCAACUCCAAUAACCAAUAAACGAAAUAAAACCAAUAGCGAAACACGUGUCCUACUCCUACGAAUCGUCUCUAGGAUCUCGUCUAGCCACAUUGACAUGGCGAGGGGCAGCGGGACUCGGAUCCCAGGUCUUCAUCGCCCUCUGCGACGCGGUCCUCCUCGGCCUCCGCCUCCUUUCCCGCCAACCACUCCUCCGCAUGCAGUGCUUGGUUAGCCAUCCUUCUCACCAGUGCAAAUUCCAGAGGCUCCAGGACUCCCACGAGUUCUUCACGAAUAUCCCCACGUAGCCCGGCCCUAAACAGAUGACACCACUCCUCAGCUGGCUUCGGUUGACACAUCUUGGCCGUAUCCAAGAACUCCUCCAGGUAAUCUCUCACCUUGCGUGGCUUCUGAACCAUCUGGACCAGUACGUCACAAUCACAUGUUACUGCAGGUGGUUUUCGCGGACGCCCCCGCUUUCCCUUAGCGGGUGUCCCUACCGGCACCUCAUGGCCAUCGACGUCCCCACCCGGGUUUCCUCCUUCCAUGCUCGAGAGAGCGGCCUUAUCGGCUGCAAUCUUCUCUUCUGCCUCCAUGGCGAAACCUGCCAUCCGCCUCACUAACGCGAACUCCAAGGGCUCCAAAACACCCCUCAGCUGCGCCUGGAGCUCCUGGCGUAGCCCGUUCUUAUACCAUAUGCACCACGUCUCUGCAUUCUUCGGUUUGCACAGCUUGGCUUGGUUGAUGAAGUCCUCCGUGUAUCCAGCGACUGAUCGGUCCUCCUGAGCAUUCUUGCUCAGUACUCCACACUGGCACUUCCCGGUGAACACCCUUGGGGGUCCCCCUGCUGCACUUGGCGUCUUGCAGGGACGGCCACGCUUCCUCGGGGGUCCCUCUUCGGUUGCGAGCUGGAAUCUCGCAUUGCCCUGCAGUAGGCGUGUCUCCAUAGCCAUCCUCUGGAAAUGAGGCAUCAACACCUUAUGCCUCACAGUCUGCUCGUGCGGGUACCUGAAUGGGAACUCCCUGUACUGUUCUUCAGGAUCCGGAAACAUGGGUAGCACCAAGUUACCCUCCCUGUCAUAGUGACGCCUUUGGGCAUACUCCCUGGUGUUCCUCCGUCCGUAGUGCAUACGCGGCAUCCUCCACUCGUAAUGGUCAAGCGAAACAUCCUGCAAUAAGAUUUCAAUCAGAACCAUAAUAGAAGUAUGGGUAUAGUGGGAUUUUCAAUUAAUUCUUUCACAAUCCGAAAAUACUUAGUAAUAUUGCAAAAAUUUUUUUUUUUUUUUUUUUUUUUUUUUUUUUUUUUUCCGAAAACGAAAUAUAUAAAAAUAUUUUUUUUUUUUUUUUUUUUUUUUUUUUAAACGUCGGAAAUGCCGAUCCCUUAGGACAGAACUAAGGGAUCUUAACCCGCUCUGAUACCAAUUGUAACAGCCCGAUUCCCCGGAGUCCGACCGGGGUUAUCGAAGGGGCGUUAUGGACACGUGUCUACUCAUCUAGACAACCCUACGUGUCCCGUUACUGGUCCCGAGAGACGAGCGCAUAACCUUCUUUGAAAUACCGUCAUACCCACAUCCAUAUACUUCUACUUACAGUCCUGCGCACAGGAAAAAUGGAAAUGGAGGGGUGAGCAACAAGUUACUCAGUGAAGUGGUUCUAGACCAGCCUGCCCGCAUGACACUCUAUACUACUCCAUGCGGGAACUAGGACUGACUAGCCACUACAAUCAGUUAAUGCAUUUUCAUCAUUUCCUAAUGUUAUCUGCAAUUUCCACAAUCACUUCCAUUCAUUUCUAACAACCUAGCGAUCAAUCAAUACAAUGAUCUCACUCAUUGCCACACGCGUCAAACCCUAGACUUAACCGACUCCUCUUGUCCGUCCGACCCGACCCUAUGACACCUUUAACUCCCCGUUACCCGACCAUGAGCUAAAACCCUACAAUGCACAUCCUUUUCAACUUUUCAUCUUUUCCUCUUUUCCUCUUUUCCUCUUUUCCUCAGUGGGUAGCCC
rnacentral:lncRNA from 1 species